CCUACGGGUGGCAGCAGUGGGGAAUAUUGGUCAAUGGGCGGAACCCUGAUCCAGCGACGCCGCGUGAGUGAAGAAGUAUUUCGGUAUGUAAAGCUCUUUCAGCAGGGAAGAAAAUGACGGUACCUGACUAAGAAGCCCCGGCUAUCGAAGUGCAAGAAGCCGCAGUACUAAGUAGGGGGCAAGCGUUAUCCGGAUUUACUGGGUGUAAAGGGAGUGUAGUCGGUGCAGUAAGUCUCAUGUGAAAGUGCUGGGCCCCACCCCCGGACUGCAUUGGAAACUGUCGCACUUGAGUACAGGAGAGGUAAGCGGAAUUCGUAGUGUAGCGGUGAAAUGCGUAGAUAUUAGGAGGAACACCAGUGGCGAAGGCGGCUUACUGGACGGGAACUGACGCUGAGGCUCGAAAGCGUGGGGAGCAAACAGGAGUAGAUACCCCAGUAGUC
rnacentral:rRNA from 1 species